rnacentral:rRNA from 1 species
CGGACGGGUGAGUAAUGUCUGAGAAACUGCCCGAUGGAGGGGGAUAACUACUGGAAACGGUAGCUAAUACCGCAUAACGUCGCAAGACCAAAGAGGGGGACCUUCGGGCCUCUUGCCAUCGGAUGCGCCCAGAUGGGAUUAGCUAGUAGGUGGGGUAACGGCUCACCUAGGCGACGAUCCCUAGCUGGUCUGAGAGGAUGACCAGCCACACUGGAACUGAGACACGGUCCAG